rnacentral:tRNA from 1 species
GCCGCGGUGGUGUAGUGGUAUUAACAUUGCAGAGCCCCCGACUUCGAGAGCGGGUGGAGUGCAGAUUCUGGGUUCGAGUCCCAGUCGCGGCA